UAGGUAGUUUCAUGUUGUUGGGGCUAUGGCUCUCUCUUUCUCGACAGCACGAAACUGCCUUCA
rnacentral:pre_miRNA from 1 species